UUCCCGCCAGUCCACGAUCGCUCCACCACCAACACCCCUGCAGUGCCUCCCUGUGGUAACACGUGGUAACUGUUGGGGAUCUUGGAGCAGCCCACUGGAGAGAAGAGACCGCACGUUUCCACAGUACAUCCUGGGUUUCCAUGACGACGAAGAAGAAACGCUCACACCCGACCAGAUGAGAAGGUCGACAAAAGAAAGGACACGAUGGAGAGCAUGUGGCAUUUCACGAGACAAGGCAGAACUCCUCCGUCUCCUGAGGCACCCGAAGGUGGAUGUCAACCACCAGACUGAAGGAAUUCGAUCCCCAAAACCCUCCACCCCCACCUCACCUCCCCCAGCAGUCAAGAUUUCAGUGCAGGACUCUUCCUGAGGGAACUGACAGUCGAGGGGAAGCUCCAGCACCACAGCAGUAUACUGAACACACUUCUGCACCAAACCAUCAGCAGAAGUUUCCACCCUGUGAUUUGAAUUAUUUGGUAAACAUACAUUAAACAAGUAACCUAGUAAUGUCAAGAUAAUGCUGUAUUACUGAUCGUAUUUACUUUGUCCAUUUCAUCCAUCCAGUACCAUUUUUAUCCAAGUAUUUAAGCUACAGUUGUGUCUAUGUACUUUGGGGCUGUG